GAUGAAGAACGCAGCGAAAUGCGAUACGUAAUGUGAAUUGCAGAUUUUAGUGAAUCAUCGAAUCUUUGAACGCACAUUGCGCCCGCCAGUAUUCUGGCGGGCAUGCCUGUUCGAGCGUCAUUUCAACCAUCAAGCCUUCGCUUGUGUUGGGGCCCCGCGGCUGCCGCGGCCCCCUAAAUCCAGUGGCGGGCUCGUCGUCGUACCGAGCGCAGUAGACAUCCUCGCUCCGGGAACCCGACGGGUGCCGGCCGUGAAACCCCCCCCAUCAAGGUUGACCUCGGAUCAGGUAGGAAUACCCGCUGAACUUAAGCAUAUCAAAAGCGGAGGA
rnacentral:misc_RNA from 1 species